AUUGAACGCUGGCGGCAUGCCUUACACAUGCAAGUCGAACGGCAGCACGGGUGCUUGCACCUGGUGGCGAGUGGCGAACGGGUGAGUAAUAUAUCGGAACGUACCUUAUUGUGGGGGAUAACGCAGCGAAAGCUGUGCUAAUACCGCAUAAUCCCUAAGGGGGAAAGCGGGGGACCGUAAGGCCUCGCGCAAUUAGAGCGGCCGAUACCUGAUUAGCUAGUUGGUGAGGUAAAGGCUCACCAAGGCAACGAUCAGUAGCUGGUCUGAGAGGACGAUCAGCCACACUGGGACUGAGAAACGGCCCAGACUCCUACGGGAGGCAGCAGUGGGGAAUUUUGGACAAUGGGGGCAACCCUGAUCCAGCAAUGCCGCGUGAGUGGAGAAGGCCUUCGGGUUGUAAAGCUCUUUUGUCAGGGAAGAAACAGCAGCUCUAACACAGUUUGCGAAUGACGGUACCUGAAGAAUAAGCACCGGCUAACUACGUGCCAGCCGCCGCGGUAA
rnacentral:rRNA from 1 species